rnacentral:rRNA from 1 species
ACGCUGGCGGCGUGCCUAACACAUGCAAGUCGAACGGNGUUAGUUCCUUCGGGGACAACUUAGUGGCGAACGGGUGAGUAACGCGUGAGAAACCUGCCUUUCAGUGGGGGACAACAGUUGGAAACGACUGCUAAUACCGCAUAACACUUUAGUACCGCAUGGUACAGAAGUCAAAGCUUUAUGUGCUGAAAGAUGGCCUCGCACCUGAUUAGAUAGUUGGUGAGGUAACGGCUCACCAAGUCGACGAUCAGUAGCCGGACUGAGAGGUUGAACGGCCACAUUGGGACUGAGACACGGCCCAGACUCCUACGGGAGGCAGCAGUGGGGGAUAUUGCGCAAUGGGGGAAACCCUGACCCAGCAACGCCGCGUGGAGGAAGAAGGUUUUCGGAUCGUAAACUCCUGUCCUUGGUGAAGAGCAAGAGACGGUAGCCAAGGAGGAAGCCCCGGCUAACUACGUG